UAUGCAACCCCUCGUGUUUUUCUUCUCAUUCUUUUUUAGCAUGCCUUCUUCCGGGAGAGAUGUUGUCGUAUAAGAAUGAAUGAGAAGACAAACAGCAAAGCCUCCCGUAAGGGGGGCUUUUUUAUU
rfam:Tatumella ptyseos ATCC 33301 GTPT.assembly.021, whole genome shotgun sequence.